rnacentral:rRNA from 1 species
AACGAACGCUGGCGGCAUGCCUAAUACAUGCAAGUCGAACGCGCCUAGCGAUAGGCGAGUGGCGGACGGGUGAGUAACGCGUGGGAACCUGCCCUUGAGUGCGGGAUAACCGAGGGAAACUUCGGCUAAUACCGCAUGCGCCCCGGGCAACUGGGGGAAAGAUUUAUCGCUCGAGGAGGGGCCCGCGUCGGAUUAGCUAGUUGGUGGGGUAAUGGCCUACCAAGGCGAUGAUCCGUAGCUGGUCUGAGAGGAUGAUCAGCCACACUGGGACUGAGACACGGCCCAGACUCCUACGGGAGGCAGCAGUAGGGAAUAUUGGACAAUGGGGGCAACCCUGAUCCAGCAAUGCCGCGUGAGUGAUGAAGGCCUUAGGGUUGUAAAGCUCUUUCAGUGGGGAAGAUAAUGACGGUACCCACAGAAGAAGCCCCGGCUAACUCCGUGCCAGCCGCCGCCGUAAUAC